CAGAUCUGCUGGGGAAAGUAUAUGGAGGCAGCGCUGUGGCUAAGUGCCACAGUAUGCGCUUGGGCAUCCACAGGGUGAGUGUCAGGAAGACCACAUCUUUGCCCUGAGAGAGAGCUAAUGAUAUUGAAGUUAUUUCUGAGGGAUAUUUGCCCAACCCAUUAUAAAAAUCUGUUUAAAGGCAGAUUCCUCCCCCACCAGGUCUUCUCAGCACCAUGUUACCCACCAGUUAUUCGUAGUGGCUGCUCACAACUGGGAUGGGGAAGAGGAUCCAUGCCCCUCUCUGCACAGAGAAAUCCAUGUCAGGUGAGAGGCUGUUUCUGAAGCCUCACUGCCCUCUAGAAACCCAAAGCAGAGUCAAAACCAACUUACAUACCUGUCUCACCGUGUUUCACCUCAAGUUGACCUUCCAUUCCCCACUUGUAGGCUUGGUGAUCUGAAGUCAUGAAAGUGCUUAGGGUGUUCUUGGCCAAAGUCUAUGAGAUUCCUGCCUGAAUCCUGAUGUUUCUGAGAGACACCAAAUGUUCCUUCUCUACGUGUAGCCUGAAUACCUCAACAUGAACCGGAAACAGCAUGUUCUCAAGGUCUCAAAACUAUGCUAACCCACUUUGGCCUUCCUUCCCAUAGGCUUUUUCCUCUGGAGCAGUUAUCUCCACCAAAGUCAAUUGGUAUGUGCCGCAUCCAUUGAUAUAGGUGCAGGUAUUGUGCUCUGUUCUCAGUCCAAAGCACUCCAAAUGGCAAACUGUGCAUCAGCUUUUACCCUCACUGGUGAGCCUCCAUUUGGAAGACUACCUAGGUUUAAGCAGUUUUUGUCACCCUCUUAAGAGGCUUUCUAGCCCAGGUUUCACUGUGGUUUUGUUUACAAUAGAGAUGACCCAAUUUUUGUAUACAUUCAGCGAGUAACAGUAUUUAUUAUACACUGCCAGGCACUGACUAAAAUUUAACAGCAAAAAAUUCGACUAUGGCAAAAGAGAAUAUAUAGGACUGUGGCUCACUGAGAGCGUUUAUCUUCCACAAACAUUAAAAUUUCCAUACAGUGAGGUAUGGGGUACAGUAUAUUUUUACUACAGGAUAAAACGUGGGGAAAAAGAACCAACUUAAGUGCAUAUGUCCACUGAGACCACUCCAGUUUUCUUGUAAGAUAUUUUCUAAUGUUGGCUUAGUAGAAGCCCAUUUUCAAUUUACAAGUUCCCUAACUGGAAGAAAAAAUGAAGAGAGAAAAGUUGGUAUAGCUGGAAUAAUUUCACCAUAAAAAUUAAGUGAUGAAGCCAGACUUUUCUGCCCAAAGCUUUAAGUGAAAUUGUUCCACUUAGAUUGAAAUUGGAGCUGUGAAGGCUGAGAAAAACCUGCCUAGCAAAGAAAAGGAACUUCUUUUCCAAAGGCAAGCAAAUGCAUUUAGCUUGGACAACUGCGUGAACCCGGAGGGAAAACAACACCAGAGUGGCUUGAGGUUGCAUUGAGCCAUGUGAGGAUUCGCGUCUGCUCUCAGAAGCUUUCUGAGCCAGCGCUGCAUUCAGAAUUCUUACUCAGAGAAAAGCAGCUGGCUUUUAAUGUAUCUGAAACAGACAUACCUCCCUGAUAAAAUACUCAUCUGUCUGAGGGAUUUUUUUCUUCUUCUGACAAUGCAAUCGAUUUUCCUUCUGGACAAAAGGAGCCCUCAUGCACAUCACCUGCGGUAGGAAGUGGGAAAUACCAGCUCUCCUAAGGUGAUCGCCAAGUCAAGAACAUCUGCAAUUGAAUUUCCCUCUUUUCUUUCCUGGGCAAAGCUGACCUGGGUUUGCCUAUUCUCAGCCCUGCGUAAAUCACCGCACUGCACCGAGGGGCUGCCAGGAGGUACGAUUUCAGGAUGUUCCCAUUGGUCAGACCCACUAAUGGGAAGCACUUCUGCCCAUGGUUAAGACCUUACUGGAAGGGUUGCUACAGAAGCUAUGACAGGAAAGCCGAAAGCGUUUUUGCUGCGCUGACUUUUCUCUGAUAUAUGGGAGUGAUGUGACGUAUAUUACUCGAUCUGAAAAGGAGAAACAUUCAAAGUCCAUUGUCAGAACACCACAGUGUAUUUAAUAUCUCCUUCUGUGUGGAUGUUAUCCAGCAGAUUUAUAAUACAGACACUGCAGAAGUGGGGAGAGUAAAGAGAGAGGCAGAGAGAGAAAAAUACCUCUCGGACGACUCAUUUGGCACUCUCCAAAUCUCUCUCUAUCAAAGGAACGGUUAUUGCCUCACAGUCAGGGGUGACACCAAGCCUGAAGAAUCUCAUUUACAAGGAAAGGUUAAAAGAAUUGGGCUUAGAAAUGGGAAGUUUGGAGUUGACUUAUGUGUCUUCAGAAUUGCAGAAAGGAUUGCUAACAUCUGUGAGUUCCUUUUCUUUUCCCAGCAUGUGCUUCAAAAGCCAGCAUCUCAGAAUACAGAAUAUUUGAAGUGAGAAGCAAAUAAUAAAUUUAUGGAGAAGGCUUCACAGGUAGAACUGACAAAUAUAUAUUGGAGAUGGGAGACAAAAAUUGGACCCAGAUCAGAGAUACCUAAAUUUACUGUAGAGAACUCCAUAAAAACCUGCAUGGAAAAACUCUCAGAUGUACUCACAGGCCUGAAGAACUAACUCUUCAGGUGGUCUGUUCCAGCACCUGGCUGAACACAAGGUAAGAGUUUUAAAUUACUGACACCUGCAACAACAGAGCUUUAAACUCUGGAGCCUGGGUAAGGGAGAAAUUGUUUAAAAAUGAUGAGACAUAAAUGUAAUGGCAAACUCUUGGUGUAUAUCAGCAUCUCUCCGUGGACUUCAGAGGUCUAAUAUCACUGGGUUAAAGCAUGGCCAGUCAUUCUCCAGGUGACUGUUUCCCUCUUCCUGUACCAGCCAAAGGCUGAGUCUCGCAUUGCCAGUCCUCUUCCGAAGGCAAACAGCCUCUCUGACACUGCCCAGGUACCAGCGUACGUGGGGCAUAGAGCCAAGGCUGGACCAGCACAGCCUUAAUGAGGAGCACCCCAUGCCUGAGCCGCUGCUGGGCAUAGCCUUAUUACUCCGUCAUCAGAGAGGCAUGCAUUCAUAUUUCUACUGCUCUUUAAAGGCUUAUAAGACAAAUUGGCCUCUGUGGUACUCUGUAGAUGUGCUAAAGACAUGGACGUGCUAUGGAUGCUAUCCAGGCCUACUUACACUUGUGCUUUUCCAGUGCUUGGUAACCUUUGGCUUCAUGCCAUGCAGCCCAUCUGAGAUUCAUACUGCAGGUUUUACUGGGAUAACUGUUUUUGUUUAGAUCAAACCAGUCUCUGUAUACAUGGAUUGUUUCAUUUGUCCCGUAAUGUUUUUCACACCUGCCAUCUCUGUCCUCUGUUAGCGCAUUAGGAAAUAAAGGUGGCAACAGCAGGAAAAAGAAUAAGUAAAAGUCCAGGUAGAAGCCUCAUUAUUUUUCCUAAGUGGCAGCUGAUUUUGUAAGGCUCCAUUACCAGUAAUUUUGUGAGGUUCCAUUUCCACUAUCCAAUUUUCAAAAGAUUCUUCAUACUCUGUUCCUAUGCCAGGAAACCUCUGGGUUUUCAGUAUACUGAUACGGCAGAGUAUAACAGCCAGCUCCAAAACACAUUGCCCAGCAGGUAAAAAUAAAACAU
rnacentral:lncRNA from 1 species